UACGAAGGGAGCUAGCGUUGUUCGGAAUCACUGGGCGUAAAGCGCACGUAGGCGGAUUUGUAAGUCAGGGGUGAAAUCCCGGGGCUCAACCUCGGAACUGCCUCUGAUACUGCGGAUCUCGAGUCCGGAAGAGGUGGGUGGAAUUCCUAGUGUAGAGGUGAAAUUCGUAGAUAUUAGGAAGAACACCGGUGGCGAAGGCGGCCCACUGGUCCGGUACUGACGCUGAGGUGCGAAAGCGUGGGGAGCAAACAGG
rnacentral:rRNA from 1 species